rnacentral:lncRNA from 1 species
UGGGUUCACUUUAUUUUUUUGGUAACAGCUUUACUUACGUAUAAUUAUAUACAAUAAACUGCACAUACAAUAAAUUGACAGGCAAUAAACUGCAAAGUGUACACUUUGAUAAGUCUUACGUAUAUACACCCAUUAAACCAUAAUCACAAUGAAGAUUUGACUGCACUUCUAACAUUACCAUUUAAUAGGUGUUGGAGCAAGAUGCUCCCAUAGCUCUGUCAGCUCCCAUUCUCUCCUUAAACUACUACAAUCUUGCUUUUGUCCUCUCCAUUGCCUGAACCCAUUCUUGCCAAGGUCAGCAAAAUGGGGCUUGUUCUCUGCCCUUAUCCUACUCACUCUCCCAUAAGCAUUUGAUACAGAUGGUCACUCCCUUCUUCCUUUGUUGUCUUCAGGGACAUUGCUCUCUGCAGGUUUCCUCUUAUCUCAGUGGCUGCUCUCUUUUCCCUCCUUUCCUGGCUUCUCCUCCUGAAGUCUAAAUGUUGAAGUGCCUUGGGGCUUAUUCUUUGACACUCUUUCUUCUUUUUUUUAAGAUUGGCCCUGAGCUAACAUCUGUUGCCAAUGUUUUUUCCUUCUUCUCCCCAAAGCCCCCCAGUACAUAGUUGUAUAUUCUAGUUGUAGGUCCUUCUAGUUGGGCUAUAUGGGACGCUACCUCAGCAUGGCUUGAUGAGCAGUGCUAGGUCUGUGCCCAGGAUGCAAACUGGUGAAACCCUGGGCCGCUGAAGUGGAGCACGUAAACUUAACCACUCAGCCAUGGGGCCAGUCCCUUGAUACUCUUCUUUAUCUAGACUUAUUACCUAAAUCUCAUGACUAAGCAAUAGAUGCUUAUAGAUGGCAUAGAUGACAGUUUAAAUACCCUCUAUAACAGAUGAAGAUCCCCAAAUGUGUCUUGUUGGGCCCAACUUCUGCCCUAAACUUCAGAUUCACAAAUCCAACUGCUUAUUGGACAUCCUCUCUGAGAUCUCUAAUAAAUUUCUCAAAUUAAUACACAUGGAACUGAGCUGUUGUUUUUACUCAAGACUGCAUCUCUUCCAGGUUUCUCCACAUGAAGAAAUUGUACCACCUUUCAUCCAGUUACUUGGGCCCAAACUGAAAGGUCAUCCUCUUUUUCCAUUCCUCUUCCUCACCAGCAAGCCAUGUCUGCUUCAUUCAUUCAUUAAAAAAUAUAUUUAUUGAGUGCAUAGUAUGUGCCAAGCACUCAUCUAAGCUCUUGGGAUAUCACUGAAUAAAAUAAAGUUCUCUGCUUACAUUUCUAGCAGGGGAGAUAAUACUUUGGAAAAAAGAAAAUAUAGAUCAAGGUAAAAAGUAUCAGGAGCGGGGCCAGCCUGGUGGCACAGUGAUUAAGUUCGCACUUUCCACUUUGGCAGCCCAGGGUUCAUCAGUUCGGAUCCCGGCUGCAGACAUGGCACCGCUUGGCAAGCCGUGCUGUGGUAGGCGUCCCACAUAUAAAGUGGAGGAAGAUGGGCAAGGAUGUUAGCUCAGGGCCAAUCUUCCUCAGCAAAAAGAG